GGAAAGGAUUCGCGAAGUCGAAGCAAAAUUCUUCACACAAACAAUGACAGUUCUUUAUGGGUUUUUACAGUAGAGCAACAGAGAGGAGGAGAUGGCGGCCAUGUUUCACUCAAACUCUGACAGAUAGCAAUGGGAUUUCCCAUAGGAGGGAAGAGCAGAAUUUGCUUCGACUUCGCGAAUUUUAUUUUCAUAAACGAUUGCGCGAGCCAAAAACUCCAUGGAGUUGCAUAUAAAAAAAUGCCCUCAUAAUAUCAUAUAUAGGAAAAUUUCCUAUAUUUAAUAUACGUUUCCCGAUGAAAACAUAUCCUUUGUCCUUUCUGUGCGCGUGCAAGAGAAAUAGAAGAAAGAUGAUUAAACGUCAGCAAGCUUUAUUUGUAUUUCUAGUUUGAACAUCUCAGGUUUGAACAACCGAUUUGUCAGCAAACGCGCUGUUCAAGUUUUAACACUUCGUCUUUUUAAAUAUUGUUAUUAAUCCAUCAGCAUCGGUAAAUCUCCGGUACUUUCGAUUUCUCUAUUCUAUAAGGUUCUGAUAUUCCCAAUGACAAUGCAUAAACUGCGUUUUGCGUGCAACCUAUCUUGGAAGUAUUGGCGUACUUUACCGCUUCCACAUACGAGUGCUCCCAACAUUAACAUCAAUCAACGAAUUACAUCAUCGCAGACUCAAAUAAAUAAACCAGAGACGUUGUUAUGUAACCGACAUGUAAACAGAAUGAAAGCAAUUCUGACUGCUCGCAGAGCAAGAUGACUUUUGACAGAUAUCGACUCAUUUUACAUCGAUGUCUUAUUGGAAUUUUUGGGUAGCACCAGCCAUUCUUAUGACCGGGCGAUUUUUAUAAUUUUCGAACUUUCACU